ensembl:lncRNA
CACACCAGGAAGCAUGUGGGAUCUUAGUUCCCCAACAAGGGAUCUAAUUCACGCCCUCUGUCGUGGAAGCUCGGAGUCUUAACCACUGGAUCACAGGAAUCAGGAAGUCCAUUACAGUAGAGCCUGAGUAUGUGUCAAGAAAGAAUAAAUACACACCAUCAAUCACCCCAGUAGAGUCCAGUGUCUACCUUAGUCUUAUGGAAAUUUGGUGAAGAUGUGUGACUUUCCUAGAUUCUCAUCACUUAUGUUACACUGGUCAAGUCAAUUCUCUGGAGUGUACUGACCUUACAGAACUGAAAGAGGAGAGUGAAAAAGUUGGCUUAAAGCUCAACAUUCAGAAAACUAAAACCAUGGCAUCCGGUUCUGUCACUUCAUAGCAGAUAGAUGGGGGAACAGUGGAAACAGUGGCUGACUUUAUUUUUGAGGCUCCAAAAUCACUGCAGAUGGUGAUUGCAGCCAUGAAAUUAUAAGACACUUACUCCUUGGAAGGAAAGUUAUGACCAACCUAGACAGCAUAUUAAAAUGCAGAGACAUUACUUUGCCAACAAAGGUCCG